rnacentral:rRNA from 1 species
GACGAACGCUGGCGGCGUGCUUAACACAUGCAAGUCGAACGGAAAGGCCCUGCUUUUGUGGGGUGCUCGAGUGGCGACCGGGUGAGUAACCCGUGAGUACCCUGUACUUGCCUUUGGGAUAACUUCAGGAAACUGGGGCUAAUACCGGAUAGGAGCUCCUGCCGCAUGGUGGGGGUUGGAAAGUUUCGGCGGUUGGGGAUGGACUAGCGGCUUAUCAGCUUGUUGGAGGGGUAGUGGCUUACCAAGGCCUUGACCGGUAGCAGGGCUGCGAGGAUAAGCUGCCACGUUGGAACUGGAAUACGGCCCAGACUCCUACGGUAGGCAGCGGUGGGGAAGAUUGCACAAUGGACGGAGGCCUGAUGCAGCAACGCCGCGUGCGGGAUGACGGCCUUCGGGUUGUAAUCCGCUUUCGCCUGUGACGAAGCGUGAGUGACGGUAAUGGGUAAAGAAGCACCGGCUAACUACGUG